CAACCUGGAGCUUUUCCCUAGGACAGGGCGGCAGGGCGGGGAAGUUUGCUCGGCGGAGCCGAUGCUGCGGCUGGCAGGAUUCACAUAGCUAGUUAGAGCUGUUAACCUGAAAAUAAAAAUGUCAAGAACAAAUAUUGGAGAUGGAAGGGGAGAGUUAUGACAUAACAUCAUUUACCAAGACCUGAACGAUCUGUGGGUCUCAUAUGAAGUAAUACUGGCCAUUUCAUGUAUAUGUAUUUGAAAUGACGAAAAAUUCCAGGCAUCCUUUGGAGAUGUUCACUAGAACCCGGACCCCUCGUCCCUAGUACUGUGUGAAAUUGGCUGUGAUGUGCUCAUGGUUGAAAGGUAUAUAGUCAGCAACUCCUGGAAACAAGCAGAGAAACACGAGGUGACCAUGGUACAUAUAAGCACCCCCACUUCCCGCAGAAUCAGCCCAUCGUUACAGGUGUUACGUGAUCAUGGAGCGUGC